rnacentral:misc_RNA from 1 species
UACGGAGGGGGCAAGCGUUGUCCGGAAUUAUUGGGCGUAAAGAGCUCGUAGGCGGUUUGGCAAGUCGGGUGUGAAAACUCCGGGCUCAACUCGGAGACGCCACUCGAUACUGCCAUGACUUGAGUCCGGUAGGGGAGUGCGGAAUUCCUGGUGUAGCGGUGCAAUGCGCAGAUAUCAGGAGGAACACCGGUGGCGAAGGCGGCACUCUGGGCCGGUACUGACGCUGAGGUGCGAAAGCGCGGGGAGCAAACAGG